AACGAACGCUGGCGGCGCGCCUAAUACAUGCAAGUCGAGCGAGAAGGUGUAGCAAUACACUGGUACAGCGGCGAACGGGUGAGGAAUACAUGGGUAACCUACCCUCGAGUGGGGAAUAACUAGCCGAAAGGUUAGCUAAUACCGCAUACGAUUCCCGAAUUGCGGUUCGGGAAAGAAAGCCAUACCGUGGGUAUGGCGCUCCUGGAUGGGCUCAUGUCCUAUCAGCUUGUUGGUGAGGUAACGGCUCACCAAGGCUUCGACGGGUAGCUGGUCUGAGAGGACGAUCAGCCACACUGGCACUGCGACACGGGCCAGACUCCUACGGGAGGCAGCAGUAAGGAAUAUUGCGCAAUGGGCGACAGCCUGACGCAGCGACGCCGCGUGGGGGAUGAAGGUCUUCGGAUUGUAAACCCCUUUCGGGAGGGAAGAGGGAAUGGGGUAACCCAUUCGGACGGUACCUCCAGAAGCAGCCACGGCUAACUUCGUGCCAGCAGCCGCCGUAACAC
rnacentral:rRNA from 1 species